AAUGAACGCUGGCGGCAGGCCUAACACAUGCAAGUCGAACGGGUCCUUCGGGACUAGUGGCGGACGGGUGAGUAACGCGUGGGAACGUGCCCCUUGGUACGGAAUAGCCCCGGGAAACUGGGAGUAAUACCGUAUGUGGUCGAGAGACGAAAGAUUUAUCGCCAAGGGAUCGGCCCGCGUUGGAUUAGGUAGUUGGUGGGGUAAUGGCCUACCAAGCCGACGAUCCAUAGCUGGUUUGAGAGGAUGAUCAGCCACACUGGGACUGAGACACGGCCCAGACUCCUACGGGACUCAGCAGUGGGGAAACUUAGACAAUGGGGGAAACCCUGAUCUAGCCAUACCGCGUGAUCGAUGAAGGCCUUAGGGUUGUAAAGAUCUUUCAGGUGGGAAGAUAAUGACUGUACCACCAGAAGAAGCCCCGGCUAACUCCGUGCCAGCCGCCGCCGUAA
rnacentral:rRNA from 1 species